ACACACGAAAUAAUACAUACUGGGGAGAAACUUUACAGUUGUACACCGUGUGAAAAACACUGUGGAACAAAUGGUGAAUUAAAAAUACAUGAAAGAAUACACACUGGAGAGAAAUCUUACAGUUGUACAGUGUGUAGAAAUCAGUUUGGAACAAAGGGUGCUU